rnacentral:lncRNA from 1 species
UCUAGAACAAAAGGUCUAUUCCAGUCUUCUAGAGAACUGGCUAAACCAUCUUCAAUGAGUCUCUAGGCCGUAACACCAUGGGGGCGGCCGUUUUGGUUGACUCCAAGCAAAGUGAAAGGUCCAAGGUCAUCAUGAUAAUACCUUGCCUCAAAACACAUGGCAGAGGGGAGAAAUGGCUGUGGAUCGGCCUCUACUAUCUCCAUGUAACCCUCUUCAUUCCAUAGAGCUAGUUGCUGAUAUAGAGUGGAAGGAACACAUAAGCUUUGGUGAAUCCAGUCCCUGCCAAGUAAUGCAUUGUAAGUGGUUGACGUAGUGUUUACCACAAAGAAUGCAAUCUUUAGGUCUUUCGUUCCAACUAUGACAUCUACAUCCAGGAUUCUGUGAGUUUUAGUGAUGCC